rnacentral:lncRNA from 1 species
CUUGUGAUGGAAUUUGUUAUUUAUGUGCCUUUUUCCCGUGUUUUUUUUUUUUAUCACCUCAAUUAGUCAAUCAAGCAAUUGUAUCAAAUAUGAAUACUAUAAGAUAGCAGUUCAGUUAAACCUCAAUAUAGGAGGAAAAACAAUUCAGUAGUGUCAAGUAAACAGUAGGUUAAUUGUAGGAAGAAAUCAAAUAAUCCAGCAAUCAUGAAGCGAAUAGUUUGUGCUCGGAAAUCUACUUUGAAGUUGAUGGCUGCAUUGAAAACAGCCGGAGAGAAGCAUCUAUCAUCUUCAAAGGAGGAUAAUCUUGCACAAGAAUUGGAGUCCGAGUACAAUCAGCUUGUCGAUCACUACGAGAAAACGGUCGAGAGUUUAAGAGGAAACAAGACGACCGCUCAGUACGAGUCUGACUUCACGAUGUUUUGGAACUUCAUUACGAAGGCACACGAUCACCAGAAACGGUUGUGGAUGAAGUGCAAGGACUUACAGCACCUUGCGUCUCUUAAUUCGAAUAAACUCUCAAGUGCCUUGAAGAACGCUCAGUCUGGACAGGAGUCUGUCGAAGAGUUGAAGAAGGUAAACGUUAGCUUGACAAGACCCAAGUA